GACGAUUUUGGUAGCGUAAGUUCCCUCAAAUUUCUCUCUCUGCAAUCUGAGACACAGGUUGAAGGCUUGGGAUCUCUCUUUCAAUUCACCAUGUAUCCUUGCGAGCUCACUGCGAAUUCGAACAGGAAUUCCAGUCCUACAUGCUCGCAGACACAGAAUGGUUAUAUGGAUUCAGUUUCUCUCUUGGAUUCAGAGAAGGUAGUGAAGGGGUUCUUCCAACAACAGCCUGUCAAUGGCGUUGAUGAACAUCUUAUUGAGUUCUCUGAGGAAUUGAGAACUAUUGCGAAGGCAUUGCGACGAGUAGCUGAAGGAAAGGCUUCUGCCCAAGCUGAGGCAGCUGAAUGGCAACGUAAAUAUGAAUUGGAAAGGGCACGGAAUUUGCGGAAGGAGCAUGAAGAACUGUCAUCUAGGGGUGGUCAUUGUGAUAUUACGAGUGAGAAUCCAGGGAGAAUAUCCGAUCAAAAAGAUAUGACAAGUCUAGCUAAUGAUCAAUCUGAAAGAUGUUGCGGAAAACAUGGAAUUUGCUCUCAUGAGGUUCUUAAGGAUGGAGAGGCAGAAUCCAAUCCCAUGGUGGUUCAUAAUAAGAUUGCAAAAAAGGCAUGUUUUAGACUUCAGUGGGAAUGCAAUGAUGAGAAAAAUGGCCAGCACAAGCAUGAUGUUGUUUCUUUUGAAAGUGGAAAUAUAACAACAGCAGCACGCAGCAGUAAACAGAUUUUCUUGAAGUGGGAAUCACACCCUCAGACUGUGCUUAUUUUGACAAAACCAAAUUCAACUUCUGUUCAAGCUAUAUGUGCAGAAAUGGUUAGAUGGCUGAAAGAUAGGAAGAAAAUCAAUGUAUACGUUGAACCACGAGUGAGAACAGAACUUCUAUCAGAGUCUUCUUACUUUAACUUUGUACAGACUUGGGAAGAUGAUGAGGAAGUACUGCUCCUACACACCAAAGUUGAUCUUGUUGUAACUCUUGGGGGAGAUGGAACUGUUCUUUGGGCAGCGUCAAUGUUCAAAGGACCAGUUCCUCCUCUUGUCCCAUUUUCCCUUGGAUCUUUAGGCUUUAUGACUCCAUUUCAAAGUGAACAGUACAAAGAAUACCUGGAUGCAGUCCUAAAGGGACCAAUUAGUAUCACAUUACGCCACCGGUUGCAGUGCCAUGUUGUCAGAUGUACAGCCAAAGAUGAACUAAAGACAGAAGGACCUUUUCUUGUCCUGAAUGAGGUUACAAUUGACCGUGGUAUUUCCUCCUUCCUCACGAAUCUGGAAUGUUAUUGCGACGAUUCCUUUGUGACAUUAGUUCAAGGGGAUGGAUUGAUCUUAUCAACAACAUCUGGAAGCACUGCUUAUUCACUGGCAGCUGGAGGUUCAAUGGUCCAUCCACAGGUUCCUGGCAUUCUCUUUACACCAAUAUGCCCACAUUCUUUAUCGUUUAGGCCUCUUAUACUACCAGAGUAUGUAACAUUGAGAGUGCAAGUGCCUUUCAAAAGUAGGGGGCACACAUGGGCAUCAUUUGAUGGCAAGGACAGGAAACAGCUGGCACCUGGGGAUGCACUUGUUUGCAACAUGGCACCUUGGCCUGUUCCGACGGCAUGUCAAGAAGAUUCUACCAAAGAUUUCUUGCACAGCAUUCAUGAUGGCCUCCACUGGAAUUUGAGAAAAAACCAAUCAUUCGAUGGUCCCCGAGAUUCGUAGUUGCUGAUGUUCAUUGGAAGCAUCUUAUCUGCAACAUCCCUGAUGGUGCGAGGAUUUAUAUCACGUCCGUAACUGUUGAUUUAGAAAGAAAGGAUUCUACAUCUGUUUGAGAUAUGUCUGUUUGAUUCAGAAUAAGAUU